rnacentral:rRNA from 1 species
GUUAGGAAUAUUGGACAAUGGGCGCAAGCCUGAUCCAGCCAUGCCGCGUGAGUGAUGAAGGCCUUCGGGUUGUAAAGCUCUUUAGUCCACGAAUAUAAUGACUGUAGUGGAAGAAUAAGCCCCGGCUAACUUCGUGCCAGCAGCCGCGGUAAUACGAAGGGGGCGAGCGUUAUUCGGAAUCACUGGGCGUAAAGCGUGCGUAGGCUGUUUUGUAAGUCAGAAGUGAAAGCCCAGGGCUUAACCCUGGAAUUGCUUUUGAAACUACAAGACUCGAAUUCGGGAGAGGAUAGCGGAAUUGUCAGUGUAGCAGUGAAAUGCGUAGAUAUUGACAGGAACACCAGUGGCGCAAGCGGCUAUCUGGACCGAUAUUGACGCUGAGGCACGAAAGCGUGGGGAGCAAACAGGAUUAGAUACCCUUGUAGUCC